UUGCCUUUCUAAUUGAGGGGACGAAGUUUUUGUGAGCUCUAGGGAAAAAAAACAAACAAAAAAGCAAAUUGACAGAUGCAUCAGCUGCUGCUGUGUGGCGUGUCUUUUGCUCAAUGCGAAUUCGGACGGUCGUGUGGUGAAAAUACUGAGCAGAGAGCACUCGGCCAAAAGCCUUGUGUGAGAGCAAGAGGACCAGGCGUCGUCAGUUAAGAAUAUUCGGCUCUGCUAUGCUGUGUGUGAUGUUGUAAGGCUGAAGUGUGAAGACUGACAAGUGUGGCCAGUAAGACUGUUUUAUUCCACAAGAUGUGGACAAAACUUUGUUUCCAUGGAAACUGUAGUAAGAAUCUUAGGAAGAGUG